CCAAUAGCGUAUAUUAAAGUUGCUGCAGUUAAAAAGCUCGUAGUUGAAUUUCGGGACUAAUAUGUCGGUCGUGCCUCGGUACGUACUGGCUUAUUGGUUUCUCCUUUCUGAAGAACCAUGAUGUCAUUUAUUUGGUGUCGUGGGGAAUCAGGACUGUUACUUUGAAAAAAUUAGAGUGUUUAAGGCAGGCUCACGCUUGAAUACAUUAGCAUGGAAUAAUGAAAUAGGACGUUUGAUUCUAUUUUGUUGGUUUCUAGGAUCGACGUAAUGAUUAAUAGGGAUAGUUGGGGGCAUUAGUAUUCAAUUGUCAGAGGUGAAAUUCUUGGAUUUAUUGAAGACUAACUACUGCGAAAGCAUUUGCCAAGGAUGUUUUCAUUAAUCAAGAACGAAAGUUAGGGGAUCGAAGACGAUCAGAUACCGUCGUAGUCUUAACCAUAAACUAUGCCGACUAGGGAUCGGAUGAUGUUAAUUUUUUAAUGACUCAUUCGGCGCCUUACG
rnacentral:rRNA from 1 species